UACGUAGGGGGCUAGCGUUGUCCGGAUUUAUUGGGCGUAAAGAGCUCGUAGGCGGUUUGGUGAGUCGGAUGUGAAAUCUCCAGGCUCAACUUGGAGGGGUCAUCCGAUACUGCCAUGACUAGAGUUCGGUAGAGGAGCGUGGAAUUCCUGGUGGAGCGGUGAAAUGCGUAGAGAUCGGAAAGAACACCAACGGCGAAAGCACUCUGCUGGGCCGACACUGACACUGAGAGACGAAAGCUAGGGGAGCGAAUGGG
rnacentral:rRNA from 1 species